rnacentral:rRNA from 1 species
CAGCAGCCGCGGGAAUACAGAGGGUGCGAGCGUUAAUCGGAUUUACUGGGCGUAAAGCGUGCGUAGGCGGCUUCUUAAGUCGGAUGUGAAAUCCCUGAGCUUAACUUAGGAAUUGCAUUCGAUACUGGGAAGCUAGAGUAUGGGAGAGGAUGGUAGAAUUCCAGGUGUAGCGGUGAAAUGCGUAGAGAUCUGGAGGAAUACCGAUGGCGAAGGCAGCCAUCUGGCCUAAUACUGACGCUGAGGUACGAAAGCAUGGGGAGCAAACAGGAUUAGAGACCCGCGUAGUCCCUGUCUCUUAUAC